UACGAGAGGGGCUAGCGUUGUUCGGAAUUACUGGGCGUAAAGCGCGUGUAGGCGGGUUCUUAAGUCGGGGGUGAAAGCCCAGGGCUCAACCCUGGAAUUGCCUCCGAUACUGAGAACCUGGAGUGUGGGAGAGGUGAGCGGAAUUCCGAGUGUAGAGGUGAAAUUCGUAGAUAUUCGGAGGAACACCAGAGGCGAAGGCGGCUCACUGGACCAUAACUGACGCUGAGACGCGAAAGCGUGGGGAGCAAACAGG
rnacentral:rRNA from 1 species